rnacentral:misc_RNA from 1 species
AUGUAAAGAAUCAUCAAGCUCUGCUUGGCAUUGGGGGUCUCGCCCGCUCGCGCGGCGCCCCCUAAAUCGGUCGGCGGCGGCGAUUAGCCUCAAGCGUAGUAAAACAUUCCGCUUUUCGAGCGCCAUUCGACGCCCGCUUCCAGAAAACCAUACACCUAAACAUUGACCUCGGAUCAGGUAGGGAUACCCGCUGAACUUAA